CUUUCAAUUCAUGGCAAAUGACUUGUGAUAAGAGAAAGUUAGGCUUGCCUAUUUUCCUAUAAAGUGCAUAAAACUAAAACUUAAAUGCUGUUUUCAGAGAGAGCAACUUGCAUAUUGUUGAAUUGUUGACCACCAACUCAUCUAAAAGCUCAAGCUGAUAGAGAGAGAUUCUCAACAGAUAUGAUGUGUUGACUAACAAGAAUUAAGUGUCGUAGCCUGUGUGGUACUGUUUCAUUCCCGUGUAUAGAAGUGGCACCCUCAUCGAGAGACGUAACUAUGUGGUCUCCUAAAUCUGGCUGGAUCUUUAUCCGGAAAAAUUACAAAAAGAAAUCUUUUGACAGGUUUGAUAUUAUUGUUUGUAAGGCUGGUGAUGAUUUUUGGUUGCUGUCCACUUUAGGCAUGGAGGGCACAAGGUUGUGCUAAAUGAGUGUGUAUGGGUAUGAUUGACUGAAAUUUGUAAACAAAUUCAUGCAAACGAGAAACAUUCAUAAAAUUUUUGUUGCGCCUUUAUUUCCCCUGUUGAAGUUUUAUGAAAUGGUAUCAGUGGAUCCAAGAAAUUAGAGUUGAGAUUUAUUCUGAGUUGAGGUUUAUUGAAUGCUGCUUUGCUAAGGAAACAAACCCCUGCUGGGCUACUUCCACAGCGGUUAAGGGAGCGAAUUAUUGGAUGAGCUGUAAACUAAGGGCAUUUUGUGUUCAACUCAUUGGUGUCUUCCAGACUUAACUGAUACAUGUAUUGUAAACAUGUGAGCUUUAUGCUACAGGAAUGGGCUGCAGGCUACAACUUGGACCCUUCCCUCUCCUAGAGUGCCCCUAAUUUUAGAUGAAGAUAUGACUUAAUUCCAAGAUUUUAAUAUUACAACAAGAUUUAAUUAAGGUUGUUAGUAUUUGAUGUUCA